UCGGAGAAGACGAGGCACGACCACUGUGACGUCACAUCCCUUAAUAAUUAUAUUUUUACACUAUACACGUUUCACAACUAUAAUUUGAACACCUGUGUGCCAUAAAUAAAUAUAUUUUUACACUAUACACAAGUGAAUCAUGUUGUGUCAUUUACAUGACGGGUAAAUUAAAUGAACAUGUCUUGAUUAGGUACGACAUACUUUGGACAAGGAAGAGACCUGCAGAUAAAUAACACAAUUAAACAAACAAGUACUGAAAUAUAAGUGUUCCGCAUUAAGCUUGCUAGUAAGGAAAAUAUCAGGAGAUGGCUUGCUAGCUUUCACCUCUAGAUCACCCCCAUGGCAACUUGAUACAUCAGAGCAAGAAAACAUUCCCCAAUGGUUACAAACCUUCGGUGCAAAAUGACAUUCAUGGGAUCUGAAGACAUCACUAAGAAAUAUCAGGUUCUAUAUGAGUCUGACUUAUUAAAGAACAGAGAGCAAUGAAGAAAAGUGCAGUACAUUAAAUCAAGGCCAAAUGAUACAUUGCAUGCAUCAGCGAGCAGAAAAAUAAAUGGUGUCUAAUAUUAUAUUUUCCCCUUCCAAUAGAGAGACUCCUUCUAUAUGUUUAACCAGUGAUAAUUCCGGUUACACCAAAUAAACAUAGUUCUAAAUGCUACCAACAUUUUUUAUGAAACAAAGGACAACCAAAAUUAACUCCCCUCGCAUGGAAACUUGAUGUCCUUUCAAUUCUGAAAUUCCACCAAAGGUAAGCAUACAAUAAUUUUAUAGUGUAUAAUUAUACAAAAGAAGAACAUGUUACGUGUGUAGAUAGCGCAAGGUGGCAUAUUAUCAUUGAGAGCAUAUAUUAGCACAUAGUGUGAUGAAAAUUGGAACCAUAUGUACUGUCAGCAUGUCUUUCUCCUUAUUCUGUAUAUCAUCAUUUCCUCUACACUUGACAUGAUAGCUUGAGAAAAAAAAGAUGAGUAUCCAGAUAUGUACAUAGUUAUGGCUAGAUUCCUUGUUUUGUCCAAGAAAGAUAAGUCAUGAGCCCAUCAUCUUAUUACAGCAAGGCACAUCUCUAUCAGUGGUGCAAGAGGUGUAAAUUUUAUAUUUUCUUUUCAAGAAAAAACUCCUGGCAAUAUUAAACAUCAUGAUGUAACAAAUUAAAAAUAUUAGUGUUAACAUAGGUUAAUAUCUAUUACUUAUGUGUGGUGUAGUUCAAUAAACCCUGAAAAAAAAUUGAAUUAUUCCUAAUUAUCACCAUUAGAUCUAGGUCAAUAAAAGUUGUAGUCACAGCCUGAGCCAGAACUUUGGAUUGAGAAGGGAUUGGGAAACCCUCAAAGGAAGGAAGAAGCUCACCAAAACACAGUUACAGGCCCCAACUAUCUCAACCUUGCGCACAAAAUGGCUUAAUGACUCAUAUGGGAUCAACAAGAGUGCCAGUCGCGUAAAGCUUGUUCAGAUUGCCAAGGCCGUCCACCUGAGAGCAAGACAAAAACUUAAAAUUAGGAGUCCGAAUGUGGUUAGACAAGCUAUACUAAUUUCAUUUUGAUUUUGAUCCGACAUGUGCAUUAAACAGAGCAUGGACCACGAUUGAACAGAGCAACCACUGCAAAAUAAAUGUAUAACAAGAGCUGGCAGCAUCAACAUGUAAUAGGCAUGUAUAUUUAUCUACGGGUUUUGUCGCUAGUGAACGCAUACAGUUGCAAUUGCACUUAUGCAACCUAAAGGCGAAAGAAAAAAACCACUUGUUAACUCAAAAGACUGAAAAAGUCGUAACAAAAGAAGAAAAAAACAGCCUUCCUAAGUUCUCUAGUUGGGUGAAAAAAAAACAGCUAUUCUAAAAGUGAGCACCAGAUUCCAGUAUGUAUCAUGCAGUUUUCUGUAUAUGGUUCACACAUGAAAAAGGGAUUUUGGCCAGUGCUAGGACAUGGCAUUUGUUGCCUGAUAAAAGAUUAGUUCAUGCUAUCUUCAGGACAAAGUGAGCACGUGAGUUACCAGACGAGAAGGGGAGGCCAUGAGUAAAGGUGGACUGAAACUUCUUGCUCGCUUGGAGCUUCAUGAAUCUGAUCCAUAGAAAAUUAUGUAAUCAUUUGAAAUUAGUAUACUAAAAAAAUUGAAGGUACAUUGCAGAAACGACACAUUAGCAAAAUUGAGUAAUGCAAAACCGAACCCACCAUAGGAGAAGCAUAGAAAAAAAAUCAUCUUCUGAACCCACCUACAGAUCCAAUUUAUAUGCAUCAUGCCAUGGAAUUACCGAAUGCAUGGCCGCAGCCGCUGGCUGCAAUGUCGACCCAAUGGUGCUUGUCUGGGCGAAGUACAAGGCCAUUGGGCUCGUCGCCCGGGAGUUCUGCAACCCACAUCAGUUUCUAUGACUAUAGUUUCUACUAUUGUACUCUUUGUAGUUUUUAAUGCAUAAAUUAAUCUAAUGUUGGGAGCUUUCCAAGGACUAACUAAGACAAUCAGAAUCGGAGAGGAGAGUUUCUCAACAAAAAAAGAAUUAGAGGAGAGUCAACUAACCUUCCUUUCUUGCUUCGUCACCCCCUCAUGGGUUAUGAGCUAUGACCACCAUGAUGCCGGCCGUGCGUCCGAGCACCUGUGGUCUGUACAUCGACGACCUGCCCUUUUCUCAUUUUUUGGUCACCGAAGAGUUCGAUCGAUCAGAAACAUGGAAGGGCGAGAGUAGUCAUGUUCCUGCCCUAUGUGUGUUUUCUUUGCGCGAAAGUUCCUGUUUCAGUCAGAGAGGUAGAACAAUCAGAAAAUGAGAAGGUCUUUCACUUCCUUACAGAAUGAAAUUUCUGUCUUGCAAGUUUACAAAGUCAUCAAGUUAAGCACUUACGAUAAAAUUAUCUGACUCAGAAAGCUGAUAUCACUCAUACAAAAAAACAUGUUAUACAAUAUUGAGUUUUGACAUAGCUAUCAUAAUAGAUCUAUGCAAAAAUGUUCAGGUGCACGCAGGACAGCUAUACAAUUUUAGCAAGAAUAACAAUUUUACAUGAAAAAUGCCUGCAAGCCUAAAAGCCCAUUAUGUAAUUCCAGUACUGAAUCAUUCAGGCCCUUGUAAUGUUAUUUGAGAUUAGGUUCAUAAUAUUUGAAGGUGCGUGGUAAAGAAAGGAAAAUAACAUUACUUCCAAUGAAAUACUCUCCACAUUGUUCGUACUUGCAUUACUAUCAUGUUGGCAUGGACAUUGACAGACUGAAUCAAUUAGCUUGUAAAAUUUAUGAAUAGAUUCGGUUCUCUUCCUCUUCAUGUCUACAUGGAUGAAUCUGAAAUAUUCUAAUUAGUUUCUAUAAUUAGUUCCUAUGGCUAUAGUUUCUACUAUUGUACUCUUUAUAGUUUUUAAUGCAUAAAUUAAUCUAAUGUUGGGAGAUUUCCAAGGACUAACUAAGACAACCAGAAUUGGAGAGGAGAGUUUCUCAGCAAAAAAAGGAAUUAGAGGAGAGUCAACUAACCUUCCUUUCUUGCUUGGUCACCACCUCAUGGGUUAUGAGUUAUGACGACCAUGAUGCCGGCCGUGCGUCCGAGCACCUGUGGUCUGUACAUCGACGGCCUGCCUUUUUCUCAUUUUCUGGUCACCGAAGAGUUCGAUCGAUCAAAAACUUGGAAGGGGAAGAGUAGUCAUGUUCCUGCCCUGUGUGUGUUUUCUUUGCGCAAAAGUUCCUNNNNNNNNNNACUGAAUCAAUUAGCCUGUAAAAUUUAUGAAUAGAUUCGGUUCUCUUCCUCUUCAUGUCUACAUGGAUGAAUCUGAAAUAUUCUAAUUAGUUUCUAUAAUUAGUUCCUAUGGCUAUAGUUUCUACUAUUGUACUCUUUAUAGUUUUUAAUGCAUAAAUUAAUCUAAUGUUGGGAGAUUUCCAAGGACUAACUAAGACAACCAGAAUUGGAGAGGAGAGUUUCUCAGCAAAAAAAGGAAUUAGAGGAGAGUCAACUAACCUUCCUUUCUUGCUUGGUCACCACCUCAUGGGUUAUGAGUUAUGACGACCAUGAUGCCGGCCGUGCGUCCGAGCACCUGUGGUCUGUACAUCGACGGCCUGCCUUUUUCUCAUUUUCUGGUCACCGAAGAGUUCGAUCGAUCAAAAACUUGGAAGGGGAAGAGUAGUCAUGUUCCUGCCCUGUGUGUGUUUUCUUUGCGCAAAAGUUCCUGUUUCAGUCAGAGAGGUAGAACUCUGUGUCAGCAGUUGUCUUGUCACUGCAAUUUUAAAUGACCGGCAAUAAAGGUUGCUGCUUAAUUUUAGAAUGCCGUAAGUUUUCCACCUGUAGGUGUAGCAGCUAACAACUUUGAACCAUACUGAAUAAAGGAGUCAAAAUGGAAUACUUUUUGACCUCACAAUGCCUAUGAAUUUCAAGUAGCCAUUAUUUAAACACCAGACACAUUGUCCAUGCAAAAAGAGGUGAAAAAAAAUCAAAUCUGAACUGAACUUGACAGAAUUCAUAAGUUGUAUAGCUGACAAUGGGCCAUCAUAUACAACAAGAUAUAGUAAGCAAUGCAACAACACACAUGUACAAAGGGGUGAAAAUGCCUAAUUGGUACUUUAAUUUAACACAUCGAAUCAUUGAGUGGUGCUAGGUCUAGUUACACAUACAGAGUUUAACAUCAAGUGGCUAAGUUAGCAAUGUCUAGCACGAAGUUAGGCAUGUGACCUUCAUGGGAAGAACUGGACAUACCGGGCCAUACCAACCUGCUUCUUCCCCCCUCUGCGCUAGCUCCAAGAUGCAUGUCUCGUCCUGGUGGAUUAACCGCGACCUCGACCACUUCGAUCCGCCGAUGCUCGGCACCGCUACCAAGAACCACCAAUCAGUCCUUGCUUGUGUCCAUGGUGAAGAUGAAGUCGCAGAAUGCAGAUCUUGGCUAACCCACCGACCACGCACACAUGCGUUGGCACGGCGCUCCGGGCGUGGCCCGACUUGUGCAGCGCGCUGAACCUUCCUCGCACGGUUCCUACACCUGCCAAGGCCAGCAGCGCGUGCCCGCACUUCCUCGGCUCUGCUUGUUCUUGUGCCUAGCCGUAAACAUCAUCAGGUGUGUAAC
rnacentral:lncRNA from 1 species